GGGUCCAUCAGUGCCUACAAUCAGCUCUCCAGUGCCCUACGAUUUAUGAGAACAGGCUCGGGAAGCAGCCGACCAAACCGGGAGAAAAAAUUGGGCGGCCCAGUCCAGCCGUAGCGGACGCCAAGCUGGAAUUAACUCAGCGGUUAGUGAGGUGGACUCAUGACCAGACGAGGCGGAUAAAUCUCGGCAACUGACAGAAGAGUAAAGGGGUAUCAAGAUGUUAUUAACCGACUGCUGUCCUUCCCGGCGAACCACCGUCCUUUACGCUGCCUCUGCCCACCUGCUUCCUGCACCUGCUGCGCAAUGGCUUCGGGGAGCUCAUCGGCGCUGCCUACUGCUUCGGGAGAGCGGAAAAAGGAAACCGAGCUCUGUGAAAAGUGGCCUUUUCAGCCACAACAGGAACACGCUGUUGUACCGGCAGAUGCAACGCGUGCGAGGUGCCGAGUCGGAGCCGACCCAUAGCGACCACUCGUGCGGUUUCCAAGGCGAUUCAAGGGAAGAACAGAGGUGGGUUGCCAGGUCCUUCCUCUGCAUGGUGGGGGAGGCAAACACAGGGAGAAAGACAGGGCCGCUGCACACCCCAAGCAGGACUCGAACCCCAGACCCACCACCCAGCAAGGCACCGGUCAAACCCGCCACACCCCCCACUAUUGUUAGAUAGGUCUGAAUUAAACAAACGUCCCCAAUGCAAUAUUAUUUAUUUAGGUGACAAAAAGGUUUUUUCCAGAAGCCAAUACAUAUUCUAAGAUGCAUUACUGAUGAGCAAUUAUAUAACACACACACACACACACACACACACACAACCACUUAUCCCUUACAGGGUCACGGGGAACCGGAGCCUACCCGGCAACACAGGGCGUAAGGCCAGAGGGGGAAGGGGACACACCCAGGACGGGAUGCCAGUCCUUCGCAAGGUACCCCAAGCGGGACUUGAACCCCAGACCCACCAGACAGCAGGACUGCGGUCCAACCCACUGUGCCACCGCACCCCCCAAUUAUAUAACAUGUACGUAAAAAUGCUGAGCAAUCCAUAGCUAGACAGUGAGGGGGCCUGGGUGUGUUUUCAGCGGCAGAUUUUGGGCUGGAUGGUGCGAGACCCACGCACACUGUUGAGGGGCGUGUGGAGAAGAUCAGGCCCGUAAACGAAAGCGGUGGAACCUGGGGUUGGGUUGCAGAUGCUGUUGGAGAUAACUGUUUCUCCCAUUAAGACUAAAACGGUUGAGCUGAAAAGACAAAUCAAGGCCACUGAGUAGGAAUAUAUCCAGUAUUCGACAAGAAGUGAAAUCAUAGAUAAGUUAAUGUGCUGCAAACCUACAAGGGGGAUGUGGUCUCUCCUCUAGCUGACUGACAGUGGAUAACAUCAUCUAACAUAGCUGAGUUCUUAGUGCACAGAAUGUUCCAGAAAUGGCACACAGUUGAUCUACACAACCUGAAACCUGUUUUGGCCUGGAGUGAAAAUGUGACUAUUUUGAUUUAAAAGGAGAACCAAAGAAUCCUCCCGUCCUUUGCAAGAGAUUAUUCUCCAGAAUAUUCCUUGUAAGGUGGCAGCCAGGGGUGAAAUCGGUGACUGAAGGUCUGAUAAGUUCUAUUGGACCUUUCACAUGAGUUCCUAUCAGUCAGAUGAGAUGAGCCAAGAGGGUGAACGAUUUUGGCCAAAUGAAGCAUGUUGUUCUACAGGAAGUUGCUGGUCUGUCUUUCUGGAACAUUCUACACACAAUUGUUCAAGGUAACAAAGUUGUAAAAGUAGGUUGCCUGUCUACUGUUGGGGCAGCAGGUACCAUAGCAGUUAGUGCUGUUAAUUUACAGUCUGAAGGUUCCUAUUUUGAAACACACUCCUGCUGUAGUGCUCUCGAACAAGGUAUUUACACUGAACUCCUCCAGCAAGAAUACCCUGUAGUAUACAUGGCUAUACACUGGGUAUCCAUGGGUAAGUAACGGCAAGUAAGAGCAGCAUCGUGCUCCAAAGGGUAACUGCCACACAGACGGGCUGGAGACAGGAGGUCAGGUAAUAGACCCAAGUGCGGGUCGGCCUUAUUUCAGGAAGGCUUCACGCGAGGGUCAGAAGCCAGGAGAUCAGAAUGCGAUGCCGGGACUAAGGCAAGGACUAAACGCUGAUUCUGCACGAUCCACACAAGGAGGCGUUUGCAAGAAUCCGCACCUGUGCGGUUACAGAGCUCGCUUUAUACCGGACCGGGUUAACAAGUUGCAGGUGCGGUCGCUCGGCUUGAUCCCGGGGGCGUGAUGGCAACGCCGGUGCCUCAUUCUUCCUGGGCUGUGCGUUCCGGCUUAGGUUUCAAUCCAGCACAGUAUGUGUGGAGGUUGCACGUUCUCGCUUGUGUAUUUGUGAGCAGGGGCAUAGCUAGGAAUGGUGGAAAUAUUGCUGGACCCCCCCAUUUUUUUGAAAAAAUAAAUACACUUCACAGACAUGCCA
rnacentral:lncRNA from 1 species